GGGGCUGUUUAGGUUUCGACGUUUUUUUCUAAUUAUGUUUGUUAAGCAAGUCGAGGAUUUGUUCUAUCUCGAAAAUCAAGAACUCUCAAAAUUUAAACGCAACUAAUAUUGUACGUUUUAACCGUAAAGCAGCUUUCGCUGUUUAAUAAUUACUUUUAAUUUAAAAACCUAAUUUUUUUAGGAAUUUAUUUAUUUAUUGUUUAUCCUGCUUAAUGAAUUAAAAAAAGCUAUACUUGUGAAUAAACGCAUAAUUUAAAAAAACGGACGUGGGUUCAAAUCCCACCAGCUCCACUC
rnacentral:tmRNA from 1 species